UACGUAGGGUGCGAGCGUUGUCCGGAAUUAUUGGGCGUAAAGAGCUUGUAGGUGGUUUGUCGCGUCUGCUGUGAAAAUCCGAGGCUCAACCUCGGACUUGCAGUGGGUACGGGCAGACUAGAGUGUGGUAGGGGAGACUGGAAUUCCUGGUGUAGCGGUGGAAUGCGCAGAUAUCAGGAGGAACACCGAUGGCGAAGGCAGGUCUCUGGGCCAUUACUGACAC
rnacentral:rRNA from 1 species